rnacentral:rRNA from 1 species
CCUACGGGAGGCAGCAGUGGGGGAUAUUGCACAAUGGGGGAAACCCUGAUGCAGCGACGCCGCGUGAGUGAAGAAGUAUUUCGGUAUGUAAAGCUCUAUCAGCAGGGAAGAAAAUGACAGUACCCGACCUAGAAGCCACCGCGAACCACGUGCCAGGCGCCGCGGGUAUACGUUGGGGGCAAGCGUUAUCCGGAUUUUCUGGGUGGAAAGGGGGCCUUGACGGUUAUGUAAGUCUGGAGUGAAAGCCCCGGGCCCAACCCCGGGACUGCUUUGGAAACUGUGUAACUGGAGUGCAGGAGAGGCAGGCGGAAUUCCUGGUGUAGCGGUGAAAUGCGUAGAUAUCAGGAGGAACACCGGCGGCGAAGGCGGCCUGCUGGACUGAAACUGACGUUGAGGCUCGAAAGCGUGGGGAGCAAACAGGAUUAGAUACCCUAGUAGUC